UGUAACCUUGUAGACAAUUGGGCCCUGUUUAUUAUAAUUAUUAUUUAUUAUCAUUUACUAUCAUUAUUUUAUUUCCAUAUAAUAUAUACUUAUUUCUCGAUUUCCCCUUUCUGAACCAUUCCCUGCAUUCACAUAUCGUUUACCUGUUGGUUAAUUAAGCUGUCCAUUAGUGAUUGAGUAUACUGGAGUCUAAUUGGCUGUAUCUAAGGAUGCAGACCUACGAUUGGGUAGAGGGAAGUAAGCCCCGCCUUUUCACGUAGCUGUCGUCGAUGCGCAGCCACACACGAGCAGACGAGAGACAAGCAGAGAAAACUAGUAGAAGUCGUAAAACUAGUAUAACUGUAGAAACUGUGUUUAUAAAACUAUAUAAAGCAGUGGAAGUGGAAGUUGAAGGAAACGGAACCGAAGUGAGACCGAAUUAAUGAGCGUCGGGAGUUUUAUUAUUUUCGGCGGAGUCUUGGCUAGGUUUUUUGGAAUCCCUUGAAACCGUUGAGAGAUUGGAUCGAAUUCCCCUUGACGAAGGGGUGGCGAGCUAGUGAUGAAAACACCUCCUUAUCCCAAGGAGUGGAUCGGAUGACCUGUAUGAGAAGCAUCACCUCCCAUCAGGUGAACACGUUCUGAAGCGCACACGUGACCAUUGACUAACUUUUUGACUUACGACCUGACAUUUUGACUUGAAGUACAUUGAACCAAAGAACACUUGCAAGGAUUUUAUUUUGUUUUUAUUUUAUUUUUCCUUAUGGACAUUCCGCAGCCAUUUAUUGGUGUUUAAAAGAAAUUGUUUUGAAUUGUUCUAAUGUUACCGGAUAUUGAUUAUUAUUGAAAAUUGAAUAUUACUGAUUGCACUUGAAUCUAUUUUAUUAUUUUUCUAAAAGCCAAUACAAUUCAUCUAAACGUAA